rnacentral:rRNA from 1 species
AUGCUCUGGCGCAGGCCUAACACAUGCAAGUCGAGCGGAAACGAGUUAUCUGAACCUUCGGAGAACGAUAACGGCGUCGAGCGGCGGACGGGUGAGUAAUGCCUAGGAAAUUGCCCUGAUGUGGGGGAUAACCAUUGGAAACGAUGGCUAAUACCGCAUAAUGCCUACGGGCCAAAGAGGGGGACCUCCGGGCCUCUCGCGUCAGGAUAUGCCUAGGUGGGAUUAGCUAGUUGGUGAGGUAAUGGCUCACCAAGGCGACGAUCCCUAGCUGGUCUGAGAGGAUGAUCAGCCACACUGGAACUGAGACACGGUCCAGACUCCUACGGGAGGCAGCAGUGGGGAAUAUUGCACAAUGGGCGCAAGCCUGAUGCAGCCAUGCCGCGUGUGUGAAGAAGGCCUUCGGGUUGUAAAGCACUUUCAGUCGUGAGGAAGGUGGUAGUGUUAAUAGCACUAUCAUUUGACGUUAGCGACAGAAGAAGCACCGGCUAACUCCGCGCCAGCAGCCGCGGUAAUACGGAGGGUGCGAGCGUUAAUCGGAAUUACUGGGCGUAAAGCGCAUGCAGGUGGUUUGUUUAGUCAGAUGUGAAAGCCCGGGGCUCAACCUCGGAAUAGCAUUUGAAACUGGCAGACUAGAGUACUGUAGAGGGGGUAGAAUUUUCAGGUGUAGCGGUGAAAUGCGUAGAGAUCUGAAGGAAUACCGGUGGCGAAGGCGGCCCCCUGGACAGAUACUGACACUCAGAUGCGAAAGCGUGGGGAGCAGACAGGAUUAUAUACCCUGUAGUCCACGCCGUAAACGAUGUCUACUUGGAGGUUGUGCCCAUUGAGCCGUGCUUUCGGAGCUGACGCAUUAAGAUACACCAGCCUGGGGAGUACAGGUCGCUAGAUUAACCCUCGGAGGUACUUCGA